rnacentral:rRNA from 1 species
CCUACGGGUGGCAGCAGUGAGGAAUAUUGGUCAAUGGACGAGAGUCUGAACCAGCCAAGUAGCGUGAAGGAUGACUGCCCUAUGGGUUGUAAACUUCUUUUAUAUGGGAAUAAAAUGUUCCACGUGUGGGAUUUUGUAUGUACCUUAUGAAUAAGGAUCGGCUAACUCCGUGCCAGCAGCCGCGGUAAUACGGAGGAUCCGAGCGUUAUCCGGAUUUAUUGGGUUUAAAGGGAGCGUAGGUGGAUUGUUAAGUCAGUUGUGAAAGUUUGCGGCUCAACCGUAAAAUUGCAGUUGAUACUGGCAGUCUUGAGUACAGUAGAGGUGGGCGGAAUUCGUGGUGUAGCGGUGAAAUGCUUAGAUAUCACGAAGAACUCCGAUUGCGAAGGCAGUUCACUGGACUGCAACUGACACUGAGGCUCGAAAGUGUGGGUAUCAAACAGGAUUAGAUACCCGUGUAGUC